rnacentral:rRNA from 1 species
AUUGAACGCUGGCGGCAUGCCUUACACAUGCAAGUCGAACGGCAGCACGGGAGCAAUCCUGGUGGCGAGUGGCGAACGGGUGAGUAAAGUAUCGGAACGUGCCCAGUCGUGGGGGAUAACGUAGCGAAAGUUACGCUAAUACCGCAUACGAUCUAUGGAUGAAAGCGGGGGAUCGCAAGACCUCGCGCGAUUGGAGCGGCCGGUAUCAGAUUAGGUAGUCGGUGGGGUAAAGGCUCACCAAGCCGACGAGCUGUAGCUGGUCUGAGAGGACGACCAGCCACACUGGGACUGAGACACGGGCCAGACGCCUACGGGAGGCAGCAGUGGGGAAUUUUGGACAAUGGGCGGAAGGCUGAUCCAGCCAUGCCGCGUGCAGGAUGAAGGCCUUCGGGUUGUAAACUGCUUUUGUACGGAACGAAAAGGUUUGGGCUAAUAAGCUGAGCUCAUGACGGUACCGUAAGAAUAAGCACCGGCUAACUACGUGCCAGCAGCCGCAGUAA